UACGGAGGGUGCAAGCGUUAUCCGGAAUCAUUGGGUUUAAAGGGUCCGUAGGCGGUCAGAUAAGUCAGUGGUGAAAGCCCAUCGCUCAACGGUGGAACGGCCAUUGAUACUGUCUGACUUGAAUUAUUAGGAAGUAACUAGAAUAUGUAGUGUAGCGGUGAAAUGCUUAGAGAUUACAUGGAAUACCAAUUGCGAAGGCAGGUUACUACUAAUUGAUUGACGCUGAUGGACGAAAGCGUGGGUAGCGAACAGG
rnacentral:rRNA from 1 species